rnacentral:rRNA from 1 species
UACAGAGGUCUCAAGCGUUGUUCGGAUUCAUUGGGCGUAAAGGGUGCGUAGGCGGCGCGGUAAGUCGGGUGUGAAAUUUCGAGGCUUAACUUCGAAACUGCAUUCGAUACUGCCGUGCUUGAGGACUGGAGAGGAGACUGGAAUUUACGGUGUAGCGGUGAAAUGCGUAGAUAUCUGGAGGAACACCGGUGGCGAAGGCGGCAUCCUGGACCGGCAUUGACGCUGAGGCGCGAAAGCCAGGGGAGCGAACGGG